UUUCCGUAGGUGAACCUGCGGAAGGAUCAUUACUGAGUUAUGGCCCUCUGGGUCCAACCUCCCACCCGUUUUUAUUGUACCUUGUUGCUUCGGUGGGCCCGCCUCACGGCCGCCGCGGGGCAUCUGCCCCCGGGCCCGCGCUCGCCGAAGAAACCCUUUAACUCUGUCUGAAGUUUUCAGUCUGAGCUAAAACUAAAUAAGUUAAAACUUUCAACAACGGAUCUCUUGGUUCCG
rnacentral:misc_RNA from 1 species